rnacentral:rRNA from 1 species
UACGGGGGGUGCGAGCGUUGUCCGGAAUCACUGGGCGUAAAGCGCACGUAGGCGGCUUUCUAAGUCAGGGGUGAAAUCCUGGAGCUCAACUCCAGAACUGCCUUUGAUACUGGAGAGCUUGAGUCCGGGAGAGGUGAGUGGAACUCCGAGUGUAGAGGUGAAAUUCGUAGAUAUUCGGAAGAACACCAGUGGCGAAGGCGGCUCACUGGCCCGGUACUGACGCUGAGGUGCGAAAGCGUGGGGAGCAAACAGG